CAAAACCGAGACGGUGAGUACUAACCUCCGCCUCGUGGUGGUUCCUUCCUUCGGGUUGGUUCCGCCGCGUGGUGUUGGGAGCGUAGCCGUAGUAGGUCAGCGCAGGGGUGACACGGAAUGGGAGCCGGCCGCGGAGGUGGUUUUCCGUGGUCAAGCACGCAGCCAGUCAUGUAGGCAAAUCCGCAUGGCGCGCAUGGCGAGGUGUGAUGAUGGGAGCCGUUAUGGCUCGAUAUCCGGUUGUCCAGGCCGUCGAGAAAAGCCUCGGCGUGAGGGCCAUGGCCGCCCGUACCCCAAACCGACACUGGUGGUCAGGUAGAGAAUACCAAGGCGAUCGAGCGAAUCCUGGUCAAGGAACUCGGCAAAUCACUCCCGUGCCUUCGGUAUAAGGGAGACCCGCUGGGGUGAACCGGCUAGCCCGGGGAGCUUUGGUGGGUGGCACAGACCAGGGGGUAGCGACUGUUUACCAAAAACACAGGUGCAUGCGAAGGCGAAAGCCGCUGUAUAUGCACUGACGCCUGCCCGGUGCCGGAAGGUUAAGAGGAUCCGUCAAUCCCUUCGGGGACGAAGCGGUGAAUUCAAGCCCCGGUAAACGGCGGUGGUAACUAUAACCAUCCUAAGGUAGCGAAAUUCCUUGUCGGGUAAGUUCCGACCUGCACGAAUGGCGUAACGAUCUCCACACUGUCUCGGCCAGAGACUCGGUGAAAUUGAAGUCGCGGUGAAAAUGCCGUGUACCCGCAGAAAGACGGAAAGACCCUGUGCACCUUUACUAUAGCUUGACAUUGGGAUUUGAGCCUGCAUGUGUAGCAUAGGUGGGAGGCUGUGAACUCUGUACGCCAGUAUGGAGGGAGCCAUCGUUGAAAUACCACCCUUGUUUGUUCAGGUCCCUAACUCUUCGCCGUGAUCCGGUAAGAGGACAGUGUCUGGUGGGUAGUUUGACUGGGGCGGUCGCCUCCCAAAAUGUAACGGAGGCAUGCAAAGGUUCCCUCAGGCUGAUUGGAAACCAGCCGUCGAGUGCAAACGCAAAAGGGAGCUUGACUGCAAGAGAGACAUCUCGAGCAGGUACGAAAGUAGGUGUUAGUGAUCCGGUGAUCCCGAAUGGAAGGGUCAUCGCUCAUUGGAUAAAAGGUACGCCGGGGAUAACAGGCUGAUCGCAUCCAAGAGUUCACAUCGACGAUGCGGUUUGGCACCUCGAUGUCGGCUCAUCACAUCCUGGGGCUGAAGCAGGUCCCAAGGGUACGGCUGUUCGCCGUUUAAAGUGGUACGCGAGCUGGGUUUAAAACGUCGUGAGACAGUUUGGUCCCUAUCUUCUGUGGGCGAAGGAGAAUUGAGAGGGCCUGUCCCUAGUACGAGAGGACCGGGAUGGACACACCACUGGUGGACCUGUUGUCGUGCCAACGGCACAGCAGGGUAGCUAUGUGUGGAAGGGAUAACCGCUGAAAGCAUCUAAGCGGGAAGCCUGCCUUAAGAUAAGUUCU
rnacentral:rRNA from 1 species